CUAGAAGGCCUUUGAGGCAGCUCUAAAUCUAUAAUCCUGUGAAUUCUAAUCCUAAACUAAUUGGUACCCAGCACCCACCUCCGAAAAUGGGAGACUCAUGAACAUGGGGCUUUUAGGGAACCCAGACUUUGUCACCUGCUUGAGUAGGCACAGCUGGGAAUGAGGAAUUGCCGUUUGUCAGGGCCCAAGGGAAGCCUUCCCAGCAAGGAGGGAAAAGAAAUCUCUGGGCCAAGAGGGGCCUGAUCCAGCUCUGCCUGGGAUACUGAUGCCUGAGUCUCUCUGAUGGUUACUUGCUCUGGCAGGGGAUGAUGGGUCCCAUCAACCUCUACAUUCCCUUGGAUCAUGAGCUGUGGCACCAGCUAGUCUGACUUCCUUGCUGGUGGCACGCAAAAAAAAAAUUGCAAAGAGCAAGCAGGCCGCCCCCAACUUGUUUCUGCUUUAUGACUAUGCUUAAUAUAGGUCAAAUGAAAACAGCAUCCAGAAAUAGACCUUCCCUGAGAAGCAGCUGCAAUUGUGAAAGCCUGCACCAAAAGAGAAGAGGUGUGAGGAACAGGUAAUGCAGGUCUCUUCAGGCCCACAUCAUUCUUCAGGAGCAAUGUGGACUUGGAAGCAUUGAGCCUAAGAGAAAGGACAACUGUACCAUAUGUGAAUGAGCCCUAAGUCUUUUGGCUAACAUCACCACAUCCAUGCAUGUAGAUGUGGGGUACUUCCUCCAUUGAGUGGCAAAAAGUAAAGAACACGAGCAAGAAAGACUGGACAGCAAUGAUUGGACUAGACAAAGCUUCGAAUUCUUCCUUCUGGUGGGAAUCCUUUCUGGGAUGCUCCAAAGACAAUGACUCUACUAGAGGCUCAGGCAUAUUUUUUCAAUGCCUUUGUUUGAUACUUUGCUAAGAGUUCCUAUAGUUUUAUGUUUGUGGGAAUGGAGAGCUUUUGGAAAAAAUAAAACCCAUGCUACACACUUGGAAAGAGUCUUGGUGGCUGCCUAGUAUCAUUCAAGGUAUGGAAGGAUACAGCCUGACCAAACCAGGCAUCUCCCCCCGAUACCCCUCAGGAAGGAGGGGUCAGGUAGACACAGACUUGACUGAGCAAUCAAUGAGCAUGGCUCCUGUGACAUGAGAGGAGCUGUACCAACCCCCGGUGUGCAUCCUUAAUAGCUCACUUGUGAUUGGCAUCUUCAGAAAGUUUGCUGGGGCUCUGCUUACCCUAGGCUAAUGCUUUUGAAAAAUGAAAUUCUGUUGAAAAUGAAGUAGCUGCUGUUACCACCACCCUCAUCCCAGAGUAUAAAACACUGAUACCCCUAAAUGCUGUUGCCACUCAGACCCCAUCUGGACAUAUUUUGCCUCUCAGGGACCAAAACAGGGAGCUGAGAAGCCAAGUGGCUGUUGGAGAUGAUUAGUACAUGUGUCCUUGUGUCCUUUCUAUGGUUACCACUGGUGGUUCAGAUAUGAUCAAUAAACUCUGUAGAAUUGGAUUUAAGGAAUGUUUUUAUUCCCUGAAAUCUAGGACCAUACUAAAUUCUACUUCCAGGAAGUGGAAAAGGCUUCUAACCAUUUCUUAAGAGUUGGAUUUCACAGAUCCUCCAUUAAGUUACUUGGAUGCCUCAUUGUGGUGUGGAGGUGACCCUGGAUUCUCAAAGGCCAUGCCAGUGGAAUGCUGACAGUUUCUACCAAGCUAGAAAGGCUUCAAGUAUGGGCCUGGCGACAGGCUAUGUGUCUUAUAUCCAAAGACCAGGCCACUAGGCUUGAGGAAGCUCAUUACCAAGUUUGGCUAUGAGGUAGUAACUUAUGUUCCAUGCCCAAGAACACGUGUAGAUCAUCUACUAAGUUCUCUUUGAGUUGAGAUCUGGGUUGGAGGAGGGAGUACCCACACUGCCGAAAUCACAGAACCUUGAUUCAAUACUAAGUGAUUUCACCAACUUGGAAAAUUCCUGGCUUGG